AGUAAUGUCUGGGAAACUGCCUGAUGGAGGGGGAUAACUGCUGGAAACGGUAGCUAAUACCGCAUAACGUCGCAAGACCAAAGAGGGGGACCUUCGGGCCUCAUGCCAUAAGAUGUGCCCAGAUGGGAUUAGCUAGUAGGUGGGGUAACGGCUCACCUAGGCGACGAUCCCUAGCUGGUCUGAGAGGAUGACCAGCCACACUGGAACUGAGACACGGUCCAG
rnacentral:rRNA from 1 species